CAGGUGCUGCAUGGCUGUCGUCAGCUCGUGUUGUGAAAUGUUGGGUUAAGUCCCGCAACGAGCGCAACCCUUAUCCUUUGUUGCCAGCGGUCCGGCCGGGAACUCAAAGGAGACUGCCAGUGAUAAACUGGAGGAAGGUGGGGAUGACGUCAAGUCAUCAUGGCCCUUACGACCAGGGCUACACACGUGCUACAAUGGCGCAUACAAAGAGAAGCGACCUCGCGAGAGCAAGCGGACCUCAUAAAGUGCGUCGUAGUCCGGAUUGGAGUCUGCAACUCGACUCCAUGAAGUCGGAAUCGCUAGUAAUCGUGGAUCAGAAUGCCACGGUGAAUACGUUCCCGGGCCUUGUACACACCGCCCGUCACACCAUGGGAGUGGGUUGCAAAAGAAGUAGGUAGCUUAACCUUCGGGAGGGCGCUUACCACUUUGUGAUUCAUGACUGGGGUGAAGUCGUAACAAGGUAACCGUAGGGGAACCUGCGGUUGGA
rnacentral:rRNA from 2 species